UCCUUCAGUAACAAAACACUGAGGCUCAGUCAGUCAGUCAAGCCCUUAGUCCACAGUCCUCACCCAGUUCUCUGCCAGUCCGCCACCGGCCACACGGCUGAAGCAGUCAAGCCCUCACCAGUUCUCUACCUCAUGACUCACGCAGUCACGCCCACACGACUGAGCCCGUCAAAACUCAGUUUUCUAUAUCUUUUUCCGGCAGAGCGUUGCACUAAGUGACACAAAAACAUGGCUGAAAAUAUCAUGAUUGAUAAGGUGAUUGGUGAAAGUGGAGCUUCUAAUUCAAAUGCCACAUCACAAUCUCAAUCAGUUCAAUCGAAAGCAAAAAAA